GCCAAUAUAUUUUGAUAAUGGCGCUUACAAUCACUCUUAUGAGCCAGAGUAUUUCAAAAAAUGGACUGAUUUUUCGUUUCUUGAAGGAAGGGCGAAUCUCUCAAAAUACAGCUUAUCUCAAAACUUAGAAGAAGUGAAGACAGCUCUACCACUUGACCUCUCUGAAAUUUCAAAACAUGAUGCUCCUUGUGUAGAAUGGUAUGCACUGAAAAGAUGCUGGCUAAAGAAACCUGGAGUUACCACAAUUUUUAAUACUUUAACAAGGAUGUUAGAGGCACGUUAAUGAAUUGAAGAACAUGUUCUGCACAGGAAAAUGCAGAGUUUGUGGCUUGGUUUAUUGAAAUACAGUCAGACACCCAAGAUCAGAGAAAUUUUAGAGUGUGAUAUGGGAAACCACCAUCCUCUCAGCCAUCCAUAAGAAAAUGCCACAGGAUCUUGAUGGAAACUGGGAGUGUGGACAUGAAGUACCUUGAAGGCAGACCAGUGAAAAGUGAUGAAGAUAUGGAGAGAAUUCAACAGGUCUUCCAGCAUUCACCACAGAAGUCUGUUUGUAAGGUAUAAAAAGAACUGCAAAUCCUUCAUCCAACAGUGCCCCAAGUACUCCAAAAGCAUCUUCAUCUGUUUCUCUGAACUUGAAUGUCUGACUUAAUUUCAAUCAACCAAGCCACACACUGCACCUUUUCCAUUUUUCAGUUCAUUUAUGUUGCUCUGGUCACUGUGCAGCAACAAAGAAAAAAAAUUUUUUUCAGUUAUGUUGUUCUAGUCACCUGG